GACCCAGUGGCGGGUGGUACCGCGCCUGUAUCUCGUAGCUUGCUUCGCUAAAUAAAUGUAUACCGCGCAGGUUCCUGGUUCGAAUCCAGGCUGGGUCG